UGGGGAAUCUUGCGCAAUGGCCGAAAGGCUGACGCAGCGACGCCGCGUGGGGGAGGAAGGCCUUCGGGUUGUAAACCCCUGUUGCCCGGGACGAAUGUGCACUUUUGAGUGCAUUGACGGUACCGGGUGAGGAAGCACCGGCUAACUCCGUGCCAGCAGCCGCGGUAAUACGGAGGGUGCAAGCGUUGUCCGGAAUCACUGGGCGUAAAGGGCGCGUAGGCGGCUCAUAAAGGCUGUGGUGAAAGUUCGGGGCUCAACCUCGAAUCGGCCGUGGCGACUUGUGGGCUGGAGCACUGUAGAGGCGGGUGGAAUUCCGGGUGUAGCGGUGGAAUGCGUAGAGAUCCGGAAGAACACCAGUGGCGAAGGCGGCCCGCUGGGCAGUGGCUGACGCUGAGGCGCGACAGCGUGGGGAGCAAACAG
rnacentral:rRNA from 1 species